rnacentral:rRNA from 1 species
GACGAACGCUGGCGGCGUGCUUAACACAUGCAAGUCGAACGGAAAGGCCCUGCUUUUGUGGGGUGCUCGAGUGGCGAACGGGUGAGUAACACGUGAGUAACCUGCCCUUGACUUUGGGAUAACUUCAUGAAACUGGGGCUAAUACCGGAUAGGAUCUCCUGCUGCAUGGUGGGGGUUGGAAAGUUUCGGCGGUUGGGGAUGGACUGGCGGCUUAUCAGCUUGUUGGUGGGGUAGUGGCUUACCAAGGCUUUGACGGGUAGCCGGCCUGAGAGGGUGACCGGCCAAAUUGGAACUGAGAUACGGCACAGACUCAUCUGGGAGGCAGCAGUGGGGAAUAUUGUACAAUGGGCGGAAGCCUGAUGCAGCAACGCCGCGUGCGGGAUGACGGCCUUCGGGUUGUAAACCGCUUUCGCCUGUGACGAAGCGUGAGUGACGGUAAUGGGUAAAGAAGCACCGGCUAACUACGUG